UUGAGCUUAACCGUUUUAUCUUCCGUUUAUCAAUGCCUUGACUGGAUUGGUAAUCGAGAAAAUUUAUCUAGAAUCCGAAAUAAAGAGAAUCUCAAACCCAACCCAAGUGUUUGUUAAUUUGUUUUUCAGAAACUCCAAUUUCAGUUUCGAUUGUCUUUUUGCAUUUCUUUUUAUUUUCACCUCUUAUAAUCGACACCAUGUUACCCAAAAACCAAAAAAAUCUCAUAAAUGCUUUGAUAACCCAUUGUCCCUGUGGAAUACGAUCCUGGACUUAUCCUUGAUACAACUUGACACUUCUGCACUUGGAAGCACAUUCUCGAGACGAGUCAAGUUUUUGGCGCCGUUGCCGGGGACAACUGGUGUUUAUCAGAGCAUUCAUCUACUGCUGAGAGGACGUUCGUGGAGCUGUGAAUCUCUUCACAGCCUAGUUCAAAUAAAUCCAAUUGGAACUGUUGACCGAAGAGAAAGACCUUCAUCUGUCUUGUUGUUCUCAUCCAAUCCGAUUCCAAGGUUAAGGAUGGCUAACUGUGUGUCAGAUGCUGUACAUGUUGAAGAUGGAGUUGAUCAGUUAACUGGUACACAUAGUGGUACCAACGCCUGUGACGCUUUGGAAGGACAAAAAUUAUGAUGUCCAACACCCAUUCUACUAUUUAAUCAUAUGAUGACGAUAAUUUAAUCAUAUGCUCAGUUACAAGUUGAUGUCAAAAUCCAAAUGAAAAGGGCCACUUGGUCACUCGGACACCACAUGCUCACAUGCAGCACCAUGGGGAUGAAAGCAAAAGAAGACAGCACAUGAGGCACAUAAAGUAUUCAGGACGACAACAGGAAAGUAGAGAGUGGGAGAGUAAUGAGUGGAUUGAGUGGAUGAACGAGCUUGCUUUACUUUUGUUUUCGAGUAGCAGCUGGGGGACAUAGAGAGAUUCGGUGGGAGAAUGAGUGGGGUGUGCUGAUUAGAAUAGAGAGAAGUGUUAGCUGAGGCUGACUCAUUAAAGCCGAUGGGAAGAGAACGUGAACCGAAUCUUGAGUGGAGAGAAAAGAAGAUGGUAAUGAUUCCCUUGAGUGGAGAGAGUGGGACGGCUGGUGUGCAAUUCUUGCUUUACUUUCGAGGGGAGAGCAGAAUUUUGGGGGGAAUUGCUUUACACACGGCUACUUGAGUGGAGAGAGUGGAUGAGUGGCUUGGUUCGGCUGGAAACUUUGAGGUAAGUUGCAGCUGGGGGACAAGGAGAGAGAAAUCGGUGGAACAAAAGAAAAGAUGAUGAUGUUCACAUAGAAUAACACAUUCGGAUCUCACACCAUGGGCCACAUGCAGCACAUGCCAAAACCGAAGCUCAGCUCAUCAUGCAUGACAACAAUUCAGACAUCAUUCGGCAGGGGCCACGGCUUAAGUGGAGAGAGGCUUGAGUAGAGAGAGGCUUGAAGUGGAGACCGAGUGGGGGCUUGCCUUGCUUUCAUACGGAGGCACAAAUGAGUUGAAGAGCACAUGGCAGCAAAUCAAACCACUCACUCGGCAAUUCAGGAAAGCACCACAUAGAAUGCAUGAUCAUUGCAUGGAAACCACUCACCAGACAAUUCAUGGACAGAACAUGCAACAGCAGACACAAUCGGACAGCACCUGCAGAAAACAUUCUCGAGCUCUCAACUCAACAACACACUUCGGAUCACAUGCACUCAACUCAACCAGAUGGACAGCAAAACACAUUCACAUGACAAUCACACCAAGCACAGCUAUAAAAGGAAGGAGAAGGGGAGAACCGGGCAGCAAGUUUUAGUUUGAAGUUUUUGUUGUUAUUUUCUUUCCUUUUGUAGAGUAGUGUAGUUUAGGUUUUUUUAUUUUUCUUUCAUUUGUUUUCUUUUAUUUGUUUAAGCUUAGAGUGUUUGGUUUUGAAUUUUAUUUUCUUAGAGUGUUUAAGUUUAGAGUGUUUAAGUUUUAUUUUAUUUUCUUUCGUUUUAUGUUAUUGUGUGGUUUCAUUGUAUUUGAUUUUAAUUUUAUUCGGAACGAUAUUUCCAUAGUAUUUGUAUUAAAUAUGUUUGGCUUGGGAUUCAAUGAGUAGCUCAUAACUGUUUGGGGUUGGAUUUUCUUCAAGAUUAUGGAUUUUAAAUGAUUAACUUGAUAGAUUAUAUUUCAUUUUACAAUUGGGAAGGAUUAAAAUUCUAUGUUCUUGAAUUUGAUCAGUCGUAGACGUGAAGGCACGAUUGAUGCUUGAACUUGUAACAAGAUUUUGAUAGCUUUCUUGCACUUCUACAAUUGAUAUAAAAUCUGUCAAGCACCUU